rnacentral:lncRNA from 1 species
AAAAGUGAGCUUUUUUUUUCCCCAGAAUCCUGUUAGGAAGACAGCUCACAUCUGACAGGCAUAUUUUAUUCUUGCUAUGUAGAAAUGUCUAGUUUUACUAUAAAAUAAUUACCACAAGCCUAUUAGUGUGCCUGGCUCAGGCACUGUGGCCUGUACAGAUGUCUAAUAACACAUGCCCACAUUUUUUGACAAAUUUUUAUACAGCCACAGAUGAGUCUGGAAAAAAAUAGCAACAAAUUCCAGCAGAUGGACAAAAAUUGGAAAAAAUACCUUCAGAAGAACAGACCACACAAGGCUUAGUAGCAAGUAAAUUCUGAGCUCAACUCUCAAGCAGAAAACAGCCCUGCCGUGAUAGACAGUGGAGCCUGUUCAUCUCCUUGUAUGCUUCCUUAUGGCCAAAAGUUCAUUCUCUGAAUACAUGACCAUGGA